CAACGGCUUUACGUGACUUCCAAACCACGUGGAGAGUGAACUUCUCCGGUCCGGUUCGUGAAACGGUAUUUCUCGUUUUGUGUUGCUUCUUUGUCGCGUCGCGCUGUCUGGUUUUGGUGUGUUUAAUUAAGCGAGUCCUCCGUUGGGGAUAAUCGUUCAUCUACGAUUUCAAGAUAGCAGUGAAGAAAGUCCUUUGGCUACGAAUCCGUCAAGGAGUUUGGUAACUAUACCAUUAUAAAAGAUUUGGAUUGCAUCUGUACGUAGCUGGUUCUGCAGUAAGAGAUAGUAAAGUCUAUUUACGAAUCUGUCUUGUGAAGAAGGCGAAGCUCUAGGAACCUACGAUGCUGUUUGCCUGAUACUCCCCCAUCGAAAUCGUUCAUCGUUGCAAGCAGCUGGCCGAGUUUGAAAACUGUUAACACUUCUCAAUAACGAUUGUAAGGGUAUAUGAACAUUACAAAUCUUUUACGAUAACCACUCUGAGCUUUAUUCAUUUGUAUCGCCUCUUUGAUUGUGUACUUCGAUAAUGAAGGUUACUGAAACUUAAAUUUUUAUA